rnacentral:rRNA from 1 species
GGGCCCGCACAAGCGGUGGAGUAUGUGGUUUAAUUCGAUGCAACGCGAAGAACCUUACCAGGGUUUGACAUCCUGCGAAUCUCUUGGAAACAGGAGAGUGCCUUCGGGAACGCAGUGACAGGUGGUGCAUGGCUGUCGUCAGCUCGUGUCGUGAGAUGUUGGGUUAAGUCCCGCAACGAGCGCAACCCACGUCUUUAGUUGCCAGCAUUAAGUUGGGCACUCUGAAAGAACUGCCAGUGAUAAGCUGGAGGAAGGUGGGGAUGACGUCAAGUCCUCAUGGCCCUUACGUGUUGGGCUACACACGUGCUACAAUGGUAUCUACAACAGGAAGCAAGACGGCGACGUUUAGCAAAUCCCAUAAACCGUGGCUCAGUUCAGAUCGUAGGCUGCAACUCGCCUACGUGAAGGCGGAAUCGCUAGUAAUCGC